UUGCUCCACGGAUUAGUGGCGAACGGGUGAGGAACACGUGAGAAACCUGCCUCGGAUUUUGGGAUAACAAAUGGAAACGUUUGCUAAUACCAAAUAACGUCGGAGAGUCACAUGACUUUCUGACGAAAGGAAUUCCGAUUCGAGAGGGUCUCGCGGCCUAUCAGCUUGUUGGUGGGGUAAUGGCCUACCAAGGCAACGACGGGUAGCUGGUCUGAGAGGAUGGACAGCCACAUUGGAACUGAGACACGGUCCAAACUCC
rnacentral:rRNA from 1 species